GGACUACUGGGGUAUCUAAUCCCGUUCGCUCCCCUAGCUUUCGCGCCUCAGCGUCAGAAGAGAUCCAGCACGCCGCUUUCGCCACCGGCGUUCCUUCCGAUAUCAACGCAUUUCACCGCUCCACCGGAAGUUCCGCGUGCCCCUACCUCCCUCGAGACCUUCAGUAUCCAAGGCUAUUCCCCGGUUGAGCCGGGGGCUUUCACCCCGGACUGGAAGGUCCGCCUACGCGCCCUUUAAGCCCAGUGAUUCCGAACAACGUUCGCACGGUUCGUCUUACCGCGGCGGCUGGCAC
rnacentral:rRNA from 3 species